rnacentral:tRNA from 1 species
UAUAUUUUGGUGUAAAUGCACAAAGAAUUUUGAAUUCUUAGGAUUUAGAUUGCAUCUAUGAAAUAUAA